UUGGCCUUCAGAGGUGUUCAGGCCAGGACUCUUAUCAAACAUGUGAAGUUUGGGGAAGAUUGAACAUUUUAUGCUUGAGUUACAACAACUUCUCUUGCUGUGGCAAGACAUCAAAUUUUGUCAUGGCGCCAUGGAAACGCCCUUUAACAAAAACUCAAGAUCUCCAAAAGUUAACAUUGCACAGGCCUUUAGAUUAGACUGACCACAAAAUAUAUGUUAAUCUCAAAAUAAUUAUAGGAGUAGUUUGUUGCAGCGUAAAACAUGUCACUUCCUGUUGCCAAUAGGUGGCGCUAUGACUAUAACUGAAUGUGGGCAUGUAGAUCUGUUAAGGGCAGAAGUUUUAUCUAACAUGUGAAGUUUGGGGCAGAUUGGACAUUGUAUGUCUGAGUUACAGCAACUUCCUUUUUCAUGGCGAAACAUCGAAAUUUGUCAGGCCGCCAUGGACACGCCCUUUAACGAAAUCUAAAGAUCUUCGCAAUUUAACAUCGCAAAGGGCUUAAGAUUAAACUGACCAGGUUUGGUGUUGAUCUGAAUAAAUCUCUAGGAGGAGUUCGUUAAAGUACAACCCCUGAAAAUGGCAAAAACAACGCCAAUUUUGCAGAGAAAAUUCUAAAUAACCGACUUCCUGUUGGGAUUCGGAUUUCGUACCAAGAGACUUUUUUGUAGGUAUUGGUGUGUUACAUGUGUGUACCGAUUUUUGUACAUGUACGUGAAACAUAGCUCGAGGCGCACUCCAUUGAAAGUGCAUAUGCACUCCGUUGAAAGUGUAUAGGUGGCGCUAUCGAGCCAUUUUGCCACACCCAAUGGAAUAUUUGCCUUCAUGUCUGUUCAGGCCAGGACCCUUAUCACACAUUUAAAGUUUGGGGAAGAUCGGACAUUUUAUGCCUGAGUUAUAACAUAUUUUAUUCCCAUGGCGAGACAUCGAAUUUCGUCGCGGCGCCAUGGACACGCCUUUUAACAUAAUCUCAAGAUCUUCACAACUAAACAUCACACAGGUCUUUAGAUUAGACUGACCACAAAAAAGACAUUGAUGUCAUAACAUUUCUGGAAAUAGUUUGUCGCAGUGUAAAAUAUGUCACUUCCUGUUGCCAAUAGGUGGCGCUAUGACUAUAACUGAAUAUUGGCAUGUAGAUUUGUUCAGGUCAAGAGUCUUAUCCAACAUGUGUAGUUUGGGGCAGAUUGGACAUUGUAUGUCUGAGUUACAGCAACUUCCUUUUUAUGGCGAAACAUCGAAAUUUGUCAGGCCGCCAUGGACACGCCCUUUAACGAAACCUCAAGUCCUUCGCAAUUUAACAUCGCAAAUGGCUUUAGAUUACACUGACCAAGUUUGGUGUUGAUCUGAAUAAAUCUCUAGGAGGAGUUCGUUAAAGUACAACCCCUGAAAAUGGCAAAAACAGCACCAAUUUUGCAGGGAAAAUUCAAAAUAACCGACUUCCUGUUGGGAUCCGGAUUUCGUACCAAGAGACUUUUUUGUAGGUAUUGGAGUGUUACAUGUGUGUACCAAUUUUUGUACAUGUACGUGAAACAUAGCUCGAGGCGCACUCCGUUUAAAGUGUAUACGCACUCCGUUGAAAGUGUAUAGGUGGCGCUAUCGAGCCAUUUUGCCACACUCUAUGGAAUAUUGGCCUUCAGAUCUGUUUAGGCCAGGACCCUUAUCACACAUGUGAAGUUUGGGCAAGAACGGACAUUUUAUGCCUGAGUUAUAACAUCUUUUAUUCCCGUGGCGAGACAUUGAACUUCAUCACGGCGCCAUGGACACGCCUUUUAACAAAAAUUCAAGAUCUUCACAACUAAACAUCACACAGGUCUUUAGAUUAGACUGACCACAAAAAAGACAUUGAUGUCAUAACAUUUCUAGGAGUAGUUUGUCGCAGUGUAAAAUAUUUAACUUCCUGUUGCCAAUAGGUGGCGCUAUGACUAUAACUGAAUAUUGGCAUGUAGAUCUGUUCAGGUCAAGAGUCUUAUCCAACAUUUGAAGUUUGGGGCAGAUUGGACAUUGUAUGUCUGAGUUACAGCAACUUCCUUUUUCAUGGCGAAACAUCGAAAUUUGUCAGGCCGCCAUGGACCCGCCCUUUAACGAAACCUCAAGUCCUUCGCAAUUUAUUAUUGCAAAGGGCUUUAGAUUACACUGACCAAGUUUGGUAUUGAUCUGAAUAAAUCUCUAGGAGGAGUUCGUUAAAGUACAACCCCUGAAAAUGGCAAAAACAACAGCAAUUUUGAAGGGAAAAUUCAAAAUAACCGACUUCCUGUUGGGAUCCGGAUUUCGUACCAAGAGACUUUUUUGUAGGUAUUGGAGUGUUACAUGUGUGUACCAAUUUUUGUACAUGUACGUGAAACAUAGCUCGAGGCGCACUCCGUUGAAAGUGUAUAGGUGGCGCUAUAGAGCCAUUCUGCCACACCCGGUGGAAUAUUGGCCUGAAGAUCUGUUCAGGCCAGGACUCUUAUCACACAUGUGAAGUUUGGGGAAGAUCGGACAUCUUAUGCCUGAGUUAUAACAUCUUUUAUUCGCAUGGCGAGACAUCGAACUUCGUCGCGGCGCCAUGAACAAGCCUUUUAACGAAAACUCAAGAUCUUCACAACUGAACAUCGCACAGGCCUUUAGAUUAGACUGACCACAAAAAAGACAUUGAUGUCAUAAAAUUUCUAGGAGUAGUUCGUCGCAGCGUAAAAUAUGUCACUUCCUGUUGCCAAUAGGUGGCGCUAUGACUAUAACUGAAUAUGGGCAUGUCAAUCUGUUCAGGUUCGGAGUCUCAUCAAACAUGUGAAGUUUGGGGCAGAUUGUUCAUUGUAUGUGUGAGUUAUAGCAACUUCAUUUUUCAUGGCGAAUCAUCGAAAUUCGCCAGGCCGCCACGGACACGCCCUUCAACGAAAAGUCAGGAUCUUCGCAAUUUAACAUCGCAAAGGCCUUUAGAUUAGGCAUACCAAAUUUGGUGUUGAUUUGAAGAACUCUCUAGGAGGAGUUCGUUAAAAUACAACACAUGGAAAUGACCAAAAUUACACAAAAUAUGCUCAUAAUAUUAAAAAUAACCGACUUCCUGUUGGGUUUAGAAUUUCGCUCCAAGAGUCUUUUUUGUAGGUAUUGGUGUGUUACAUAUGUGUGCCAAUUUUCGUGCAUGUACGUGAAACAUAGCUGGAAGGCUGUUGAUUUUCUUGGUAUAGGUGGCGCUGUCGAGCCAUUUUGCCACACCCUCUUCUGAAUCCUAUAUCAGACGAAAAUUUUCACCAGGUUUGACGAGUGUGCAAAGUUUCAUGACUUUUUGAGCAUGUUAAAGCCCUCAAAAAUGCGAUUC